CAGGGAGACAGGGAUGAGCUGAAGCUCAGCUGGGAUGUCAGCCCAUGGGUGGUGGUCCAGGAUCAGGAAUGGGGAGAUAUAGAAUUCAGUUUAUUAAAUAGGAAUUCAUUAAGCCAUGUGGUGAAUAGUGGCUUCACAUCAGAGCUCUAUUGGCUAAGAUACGGAAGCUAAAGAUUACAUCUAGAAGCAACUCAAAUAAUUUACAUCUUCAUGAAUUAAAUCUUCUUGUAGACAACCUCUUGCUAAAAAGCAACACACAGUCCAAGCUUUGAAAGAAAGAAACUAAGAUGAAUGUAUU